GCAGUGGGGAAUAUUGGGCAAUGGGCGAAAGCCUGACCCAGCAACGCCGCGUGAGGGAAGAAGGGUUUCGGCUCGUAAACCUCUGUCCUAUGGGACGAAGGAAGUGACGGUACCAUAGGAGGAAGCCCCGGCUAACUACGUGCCAGCAGCCGCGGUAAUACGUAGGGGGCGAGCGUUAUCCGGAUUCAUUGGGCGUAAAGCGCGCGUAGGCGGCCGCGUAGGCGGGGGGUCAAAUCCCGGGGCUCAACCCCGGUCCGCCCCCCGAACCCCGCGGCUCGGGUCCGGUAGGGGAGGGUGGAAUUCCCGGUGUAGCGGUGGAAUGCGCAGAUAUCGGGAGGAACACCGGUGGCGAAGGCGGCCCUCUGGGCCGAGACCGACGCUGAGGCGCGAAAGCUGGGGGAGCGAACAGGAUUAGAUACCCUGGUAGUCCCAGCCGUAAACGAUGGACGCUAGGUGUGGGGGGACGAUCCCCCCGUGCCGCAGCCAACGCAUUAAGCGUCCCGCCUGGGGAGUACGGCCGCAAGGCUAAAACUCAAAGGAAUUGACGGGGGCCCGCACAAGCAGCGGAGCAUGUGGCUUAAUUCGAAGCAACGCGAAGAACCUUACCAGGGCUUGACAUAUGGGUGAAGCGGGGGAGACCCCGUGGCCGAGAGGAGCCCAUACAGGUGGUGCAUGGCUGUCGUCAGCUCGUGUCGUGAGAUGUUGGGUUAAGUCCC
rnacentral:rRNA from 1 species